AUUUCCACCUGCAUCUGCCGGUCAUUUAAUACCGAUAACCACCGCUCCACCCCUAAUGCAGUUCAGGCGACAUCCAAAUUUAGGGCAUCGCUCACCACUGCUCUGCUGCGAACAUAGGCAUCCACCACCAGUCGUCUCAUUUGGUUUCUCUCUAUAGAACCCCCUGUUUCUCUCUCUAGGAGAGGACGAACGAAGAUAACGAUCAUCAUCUUCUGAACAGAAUCAUCCGUCACCGAAGCGUCCAAAGGUCGAAAAUGGAGAUGAAUCGGAGAAAUCGACGGCGGAGGAGCGGUUACAGCCGGCGGCUGUGCAUAAUUCGAAGGAAUUGAGCUCGCCGACGGCGGCGGAUCCGCCGGAGAAUGCCGAUGUGAGCUGCAGGAAGGACGGCGAGGUCGUUACUCCGGCUGCAUCUGUUGUUACUCCGAUUGCUCAAGAUGUGUGCAUCAGGCUACCCCAUUUAUUGCUGGGCUUGCAGUAGCGGCUGCAGCCAUGGCUGGAAAAUAUGGAAUUCAGGCUUCGCAUUCUUUCAAGAAUAGACCCCCCAGACCCAGAUCACGCAGGUUCUACGAAGGCGGCUUCCAACAAACAAUGACAUGGCGAGAAGCAGCUUUAAUCCUCGGUGUUAGAGAGAGCGCAGCAGUGGACAAGGAGAUUCAAAUAUGGAGACUAAAUUCAAUGGUGGUAGGUACUGCUAGCUGAAGAACAACGGCAAUCCAAGGACUUGCGAGACAGAUGUCAUGUGCAGUGGCGGUUCAACGAAACAGAGAGGGAGGCAUCCGUAUAACACGAUUGGAUGGUGUGCGCGUGGUGACCCAAGUAUAAGGAUGGCUGAAGCAGCCCUACUCACACUCAUAGUAGGGCUAUCAAUGUCCAAGAUUUGCUCAGCUUACCGUAUAGCUGAUGGCCUCUACUUUUGGAGCGCAAACCUUUGCGUUAAUAAAUGGGGCGCAUUUGCUUCUUGGCUCACUGGCUGGCAAUUAUGGUGAUUGUUAUUCCGCGCAACGCGCGGAGUCAAUUACUAGUAAUAUAACAAUUAACGUAGGGUCUUAGGAACAGUAUAAUUAUUGGACAAAAAUAGAAGUUUAAUUACGGUUGUGCCAUCUCCUUUGUAAAAAGAAAAGAGACGCAGAGAAGACGGUAAAGAGAGAGGGAGACACUUUGGGGCAGCCACCAAUCCUUAAGACGGAGACACGGGGGCGCGCAGGCAGUGACAUCACAACCUGACGCGUACACUACCACAACUCACUGACCGAAGGAUGAGGGUUCCGUCCGUGAUGUUGGUUCGGCGGUACAAAUGACGAUGGUUCUAUUCCUAUGGUUCAGGUGGUGUACGAGGGCGACCGGCGGCGGCGGCGACAACUGGAACUAGGGUUUCGACCAGUGUCCUACAGCCUAUGUGGCUACAAGACUAUGUCCCCGGCGACAUGCAAUGGCCACGCAGAUAGGGUUUCGCCGCAAACACAAUGACGACGGGGCGACUGUGGUUGAUAUCCCGCGACAUUGGAAGCCGAUCUUGCCGAACCAGGUACAUAUUCUAACGAACGAGGUUAGAGACUUAGACUUGACUUGAGUGUAGCUUAUUAGGUCGAUUUGAUGUAUGAUAUGACGGUGUUCGAUGUGGUGUUCUUCGGCGACGCUCAGAUGGUGACGAUAUGGUUUUGAUUGGGAUGUAUAAUUGAGAAGUAAAUUGUUUUAUCAGAAAUUUUUAU